rnacentral:rRNA from 1 species
GAUGAACGCUGGCGGCGUGCCUAAUACAUGCAAGUCGAGCGAACGGACGAGAAGCUUGCUUCUCUGAUGUUAGCGGCGGACGGGUGAGUAACACGUGGAUAACCUACCUAUAAGACUGGGAUAACUUCGGGAAACCGGAGCUAAUACCGGAUAAUAUUUUGAACCGCAUGGUUCAAAAGUGAAAGACGGUCUUGCUGUCACUUAUAGAUGGAUCCGCGCUGCAUUAGCUAGUUGGUAAGGUAACGGCUUACCAAGGCAACGAUGCAUAGCCGACCUGAGAGGGUAGUCGCCCACCCUGGAACGUGGCCAGGCCCCGACCCCCUCCGGGGGCAGCCGUGGGGGAUCUUCCCGCAUGGGCCGAAGUCCUGACGGGCCACCCCGGGUGGAGUAAUAAGGUUCUUGGAACCUAAAACCUUUUUUAUAGGGAAAAAACAUUUGUAUAGUUAACUGUGCACACCUUGACGUUACCUAACCAGAAAGCCCCGGCUAACUACGUC